rnacentral:rRNA from 1 species
GGAUUGAUGGGGACACUGUUGGGACCGCCUCUGCUAAAGGGGAGGAAGGAAUGGGCAACGGUAGGUCAGCAUGCCCCGAAUUAUCCGGGCUACACGCGGGCUACAAUGGAUGGGACAAUGGGUUUCGACACCGAAAGGUGAAGGUAAUCUCCUAACCCCACCCGUAGUUCGGAUUGCGGGCUGCAACUCGCCCGCAUGAAGCUGGAAUCCGUAGUAAUCGCGUCUCACGAUGGCGCGGUGAAUAUGUCCCUGCUCCUU